rnacentral:rRNA from 1 species
AUGUUUACGCCUUAUCUCGUUUCCAGGCACCGGCGAUGUCUUACUAGCUCCCACCAUGAUAAGACAUCCCUUGGCAUAUGUCGUACCAGAUCCCCGACAGUCUGCAUCGAAUCGACGACGCCCGAGAGAUCGCAUCCGUCUACGCCGCCUUCCCGUCCGGUCAAUUUGCGGCAUCAAUGCCGACCGCUGCAUGCUCUGGGCCGACAUGAUUGCGGCGCGCGACGUGAGAUGGAAAUCGCGCAAAGGGCGGGUGGGGGCUUGGGUGGGACAAUGUGUUCAAAAGCGGGCUUGAGGGGCGUCCGGAUGCCCACAAAUCCCUCACGUUUGUCUUCUCUUUGCGGGAGAAAGUACGUCCGGACCGCGUUGUUGGAUGACUUCCAUGUUCCGGACAAUGUGGGCCACACGUAUGCGGACUAUUUGAGAAUCGACGUUGAAUAUGCCCUAACUCUAGCCUGGUUUAUUAGAGCAUCUCCAGCAGACCCCGCAUAA